rnacentral:rRNA from 1 species
AGUGAACGCUGGCGGCGUGCCUAAUACAUGCAAGUCGAACGAAGUGGCGCACGGGUGGGUAAUAUAUAGUUAAUCUGCCCUCCACAGAGGAACAACAGUUGGAAACGACUGCUAAUACCUCAUAGUGUAGGCUGAGACUAUAUCGUAUCAGCUAGUUGGUAAGGUAAUGGCGUACCAAGGCUAUGACGCGUAACUGGUCAACGAGGAUGAUCAGUCACAUUGGAACUGAGGCACGGUCCAAACACCUACGGGAGGGAGCAGUAAGGAAUAGUGCGCAAUGGGGGAGAACCAGGCGCAGCAACGCCGCGUAGAGGAUGACACUUGUCGGAGAGUAAACUCCUUUUAUCAGGAAAGCGGUACCUGAUGAAUAAGCACCGGCUAACUCCGUGCCAGCAGCCGCGGUAAUAC